rnacentral:lncRNA from 1 species
AUCCUUCUUUUCGCAUAUAUAAAUGAGCAUUUCCAAACGAAACAAAAAGCAUGGCCAACUCGGCAGGCCAUGUUUGCCAAGCACUCAGCUUAAAAACAGUAUGUAAUUACAUAGUGUUUUUAUUAUCUCACUAAAAAUAUUGUUCCUUGUAGAGAAUCCUGCCUUUCCCAAUUGCUGAAAUUAAAGAACCUGGAGGCUGGUUUCAAUGUGAUAAGAAAAAGCCAUGUUCUUCAGCAUUCAUCUUUGUGUAUAAUUACCUGCAAAGCUGUAGCGUGAUCACUUUAUCACACUUCUUUUCAAUGUUCUGCUGAGUCUACAAUGUGUGUGUCUGUGUGUGUGCACGCACCCAUAUAUAUACAUAAAUGUACUUUUGUUACGAUGCUCUGGAAUAUAAGAUCUUAUAAAACCAUCGCUGUUUGAGAACUCUGUGAUAAAAAUGCACCCAUACUGCAGUGGAUCCCAAUUCUAUGCCGUGGCUUCUUCUCCACACGGAUUUUAGGUGAUUUCUCACUGAUGCGUAACAUGAAAACUUACUACGUUUCACAUAGUAGAGUGUUAUUCUAACUUUGGUGCAUUUAUGCUGUAAUGUGUUCGAAACUGCAGCUGACUUCGAUUUUAGCUAUUUCCAAAUACAGUGGUAAAGCUGUGCCGUUAUUUCGAGACCUACGCAGUUUUAUGUCCCAGUGAAAUGUUUAGGGCAGGUAUUUCCCCUUCCUUAGAAAACUGCAGCCUUCAUUAGACAGGUAAGCAUUUGGUUCCUUUGCAGGUGACAGAGAUUUAAGGCACAUUAAAAUGUAAAUCUGAACAGAAAGGUAUAGAAAAAACCCCAAAACUCGAGCGGCCGAGCGCUGCUUUAAGAAGUCUGUGAAUAUACCCCUCUGCUCAAGAACAGGGUGCAGCGAGACUUGAAUGAUUAGCGUGCGCUUCCAAAAGUAGGGGCUUUCUCCUUUGCAGUAAUAAAAUCUGUGAAUGAAGAUACAAAUUUCCAAAAUAGCCUGUAGAAGUGGCUUUGCAUCCACGUCACCAGUCAUCACUUCAUGGAACUCGUCCUCACUGCCAGCUCUCGUACGAAGCGGCUUGUGUUCGCCAGCACGUAUGGACCGCAGGCUCUCUGCGGGAGCCAGGCUCUCCUUUUCUGGGGAGGCUCCUGUUGGGGGGGGCGCCGUCAACGCCUGCCCCCCCAGCUCGCAGAUCUCUCCGCAUCCCCUGGGCUGCCGCCCUGUCGCGAUGCUCCCCAGACAGCAGUGCCCUUUCGUUCACCACCUCGAGGAGCGCGGAGUAAAACCACAGAGCGGUAAAUGACGACGCUUUGUUACGUAAAAAGGGAAUUGGACAGUGUCACAAACCCUGUUUUUGGUUUUAGAAUAACGUUGAAAACCCUGAUUGGAUGGAUCCAAACCCCGAUAUUUGCACAGUUGGAAAGUGCGUUCAGUCCUCAGGGGCACGAGGUGCGGAGCUCCAGAAACGCGCGGGCUGCCUGGCCUCUUGAUGUCUGGGUUCUUUGCCCAACAGGCCACAGCUGUUACCGCAGGUGUUAAACCCUGUGCGUGUGGCGGGGAAACAGCUGGGCUUCCACACAGUCAGUGACGACCGGCUCACCCGUAAGGGGUCAGCGACGACCGGCUCACAUCUGAAUUCCUGGGAGCUCAUCAGCCUCCUCCUGGGAUCCGGCCGCCCAGCCGCAGGUGUUGGAGUCCUACGUGCGGCUCUUCUCUCAGGUCUCUGGACCCUAGAGCCACCCUCACGAGGCGUGAGGCUGCCAUUCCCUCACCAUCUUCCUUCUUCUCAAACAUGCGCUUUCAUCUUAAGUGGUUCUGAACACACAUACAAGGAAGUAACAGGAAAGCUCUCUGGGUACCAGUGGAUGCCCAGCCUCUCUUGUCACCUCCUCUCUGAUUCAGAAUCUUGGUUGCCUCCCGCAGGGCUUUUUUGGGCCUGUUGUUCUUUUGAUUGGAGUUAUCAGUAGAUUUUACUUAUGAGCAUAGAUGAGAAAUAAGAUAGCACAUCCACAUAGGGCUUAAUUCAAGAAUUUAAACAUGUUUUAAAGUAAGAAAAUUCACAAUCCUAGUUAUUUUGUUAAGAGACUAAUGGGGGAUAAAGAACUAUAUUAUUUUUUCAUGAAUAUAUACGGCACUUAUUGCACAAAAAAAUCUCUUCACUAAAAAUUAAUAGUGUUACAUUAGCUAAGACACAUGCCGAUGGUCUGGAUUUCUGUGCUUUAAAUUAGUUGCAGAAUUAAAGAAAAGUCUUCUGAGAGAUGCUGAAUUCUUAAUAUGAUGGUGUUUUGGUCAACUUUCGGUAGUUAAAAUUUGGGACAAGGUCAAAGCAGGCUGCCCCUGAAAUCCUUAAGCCAUUUCACCAGCAGGGACCAUAGCUUCUCAUUGCAGCUCUUUAGUAAGAACUAAAGUUAACAAGACAACCCUAUCGAGCCGACUGCUUCCCUCCCUUUGUGUGUCUGUUUCUCAACACAGAAGGAGCCUUUGCUUUCCCAACAGAAGGUAACAUGCGGACACAGCUGUAAACUGUUGGUUUCUUUUCAUUGGACAAAUAAAAUCACGAAGUACCAUACUGACCUGUAUAACCUUAAAUAACGCACGGCAACUCUUUUGACAAUAUUCUUAACAAUUCACUAAUUUAACUGCCUGCUUUCCAGCCAACAGCUAAGACCAGCACUGUUUGAAUUGUUGAGCGUGAGCUGUGAUCUGAAAGGGACACAUUCACCCUGCAUGGCGCGAGUCCUGAGUCUCAAUACGUGAGUCUCAGUGAGGGGGUCUCAGUGCGUGAGUCUCAGUGCGUGGGUCUCAGUGCGUGGGUCUCAGUGAGGGGUCUCAGUGCGUGGGUCUCAGUGCGUGAGUCUCAGUGAGGGGGUCUCAGUGCGUGAGUCUCAGUGAGGGGGUCUCAGUGCGUGGGUCUCAGUGAGGGGUCUCAGUGAGGGGUCUCAGUGAGUGAGUGCACUUUGCUGCUGAAGAGCGUUGCCUUGUGUGCAUGCGUCAGGGGUCUGGACAGACCUGAGAGUCUUCAGAUUCCAGAGCCACCUCUCAAAACCAUAUUGAAUUGAAGAUUUUUCAGAAAACACCUGUUCUUCAUAAGAAGUCUGAGUAACAUUCAUGCCGCCUGGGUCUCUGAGCAUUGCCCCUCUGGCACCUAAAUUGUGCAGCGGCCUUCUGUCUAAAAUGCCAAUAGAGCAUAUUGCCCUGUGAGGCGUCCCGUGUGUUGGCAUGGCUGGCAGCUGGCACACUAACUUUGAGAAUGACCUUUGGAUAAGGUUCAAAUCUGCACGUGGAAUUUGUGCUGGCGUUACUCUCCUGCAGGGCGGUAACAAAAUACUGCAAGGAAAGCUGGUGGAAGUCAGGCUGAUGGGUGUAUAUUUUAUGCAUCCAGGGUUGAGGCAACUGCAACAGUCAGCAGGGCGGGACGCUGUAAGCCCCGCACCUUCCAUCGUGCAGCUUUGGGUUGCCUGGGGCUGGGCGAUGGCACUGACCUUCACCUACUGUGAGUUCCUGUAGGAGAAAUGACAGCCGUAAGGCACCCCCUGCUCUGUGCUGGGAUGCACAGACGCCAGGAAGACAGACCUUUAUUCUGAAGGCUGCGAUAGCCAGUCCGCCUGCUCCCAAGGGAAUGCCAGGCCCCGGCUGGCUCGGCGUCCCUGCGCCCCGGGAGAUCAAUUAUGUAGCAAAUGCUUCUCCUCUCUGAGAGGCUCAGGAUCCUGUCCCUUUUAUCCUCUCUAAACCUGUAGAAAAUGCGAGGCGUUUUUUUAUCUGUCCAGACCAUAUGAUAAAUGCUCUUUGUCACAAUGACAUUCUUCUAAUUUCAUGAUUAAUCAAAUAUUUAAGACAAACAUUCCAACUUGAUUUGAAAGAUGUGCACAUGAAUGUGUCUCCUCCACUUUCUCUUUCAUGGUGUAAUAUUCACAAUUUAAAAACCUGCUCCUAUAGGAGUGAUUAAUAAGCGGGUAUUGUCUGAGGCUCCAAAUGCCAGAUCAAAAAUUAUAGUGACUUUAUCACGAAGCCACAUUUUUCUUCUGUGAUAAGCUUUUUUCUCCCGUGAUAAGCUGCUUAUCUGCACUUAGAAGAACCCAUUCGUACGUAUAGUUCUACAUUUAAAAUCAAUUGUCCUUGUCAAGCGUACGCAUGUUUGUGACUAUGAAGUUUUAUUCAUUAAGACAAGUUUUUACGUAAGAAACAAGCCUAGAAUAGAAAUAUAAAAAGACAGUUUAUAUUUGCCCAAUUCACAUAAGCAUAUUGUAAGGAUAGCAAUAGGAGGAUAGUGGCGCUCGUGUAUCACCUCAUUCUCGUUAGCAAUUUUGUGUCCCAAAUGAAGCUUUUCAAAAUUGUUUUUCAUAAGAAAGCUGAAAACUCUCUAAAAGUGAUCAAUAGCCUUUCAAUAAUAAUCAUAAAAUUAUUUCUCAACAUCUUUAUUUCUCUUCACAAAAAGUGCCCAUAUCUAAACCAAUAAUACCAAUAGCAACAUUUUCCCGUGAAACCGAAAUUUCAUUUCGGAGGUGGCAGCCUCUGUCACGCCCUUUCGAGAGGUUCCGAGGGUCCAGUCCUCUCGGGGGCGACUGAUUCGGGAAGGGCUCCUCCGCUGUGCUUUUGUUGGUUAGCAGCUUCGUUCUCUGACCAUCGGUGCUGUCAGAACGGUGUUACGUACUGUUCUCCCUAUAAACGGUACCCUUUUGUGACUUGAGACGGCGUGGAUAUGAUGUGACAGUCGCCCGGGCCCCUGACUUCCCCACGCUAGCCUGCAGCACGCACCCCAGUCACCCAGAGGGGGGCUUCUUUCUGAAGCGCAGGUGGUGGGCGUCGCCCCCAGCGCCAGAGCUGCGGGUCAAGGACGAGGUCGGUACCGGCCUUUGCAACGACCCAGGCUGCGGGCCAGGCCCGCCCUUGCAAAACCUCUGGGGGAGCCCUGGUCCGUCCGGUGCCGACGGGCCUUUUGCGCAUGCGCCCUGCUGGGUUGAAAUCAGCCCCUCCCCCCAGUAGACGGGCCCCCAAGAGCAGGUGUCUUUGGUCCUGAUGUGGGCAGAGCUUGAGGCUGACUCACGGGCCUAAGCCGCACUGGGGGAUGAUUUGGAAAGGAUUUGGGGAGGGGAGUGUCUAGUGGGCGGUGACGCUUGGGCAUGUGGCCUUGACAGUUUUAAAGACGGUAUUGAUAACUAAAGCAGGAUCACUCUUGUUGGGGAAAUUGAAAGGUAUUCAAAUGGAAAGCAGAGUUACUUAGAAAAAAUUUUUUAAGUAGAAGCAAGACAAUCAGAGAUUCUUUAGACACGGCGGCUGCUGCAAACAGCCCAGAAGGAAGGUGGCCCCGUCUGUGAAAUCUGACCCAGCUUGACGGCCAGUUAUGUUGACUGAACGAUGCAAAGGCUUGCUUCUUCUUCUUCUUCUUCUUUUUUUUCCCUGGGCCAAAAUUAUCUGUUUUCCGUGCUUUGAGAGCUCAAUAAAAUAAUCCAUUAAUAUUAAAAUCGAGUUUACAUUAACAUGCUCUGAAAACCAAGCACACACAUUCCUUAAGGAAGCUGUGAAGCCGUUCGUACCUCGGAAACAUUUAUUUUAAUAGAAACAAGUUAUUGAUAGAAAACAGCUGGAGUAGAAAAUGUCUUUCUGGACUUGGAGGAUGACUGAGCUGAUAGCGGUGGGAUUUGGAAAGGCGGGAAAAUGGGGAAAAGCUCUGUGCACAGAUAUGAUUAAAUAAAAUGCAGAGCGUGAAAUUCAGAAAAAUAAUGAGGCACUUCUGGGGGACUCGGGGGCCGCGUGUAGAAAAGGGACGGAGUAAAACCUCGUCCUUCCGUGCACUUUGGCCCACGUCCUGGUCCAGCGGCCGCUGUCCCUGGAUGGCCGGGGACACUUGGCGGUGGAUCGAGCCGGCACCCUUCCUGGCCAUUGCUCUGCUUUGAAUGGACAACUCAAAUUCGAAGGAAGGACAUGGAAAUGAAAGUAAAGC